GCAUAUCAAUAAGCGGAGGAAAAGAAACCAACCGGGAUUGCCCUAGUAACGGCGAGUGAAGCGGCAACAGCUCAAAUUUGAAAUCUGGCUCUUUUAGAGUCCGAGUUGUAAUUUGCAGAGGGCGCUUUGGCUUUGGCAGCGGUCCAAGUUCCUUGGAACAGGACGUCACAGAGGGUGAGAAUCCCGUACGUGGUCGCUGGCUAUUGCCGUGUAAAGCCCCUUCGACGAGUCGAGUUGUUUGGGAAUGCAGCUCUAAAUGGGAGGUACAUUUCUUCUAAAGCUAAAUAUUGGCCAGAGACCGAUAGCGCACAAGUAGAGUGAUCGAAAGAUGAAAAGCACUUUGGAAAGAGAGUCAAACAGCACGUGAAAUUGUUGAAAGGGAAGCGCUUGCAGCCAGACUUGCUUGCAGUUGCUCAUCCGGGCUUUUGCCCGGUGCACUCUUCUGCAGGCAGGCCAGCAUCAGUUUGGGCGGUAGGAUAAAGGUCUCUGUCACGUACCUCUCUUCGGGGAGGCCUUAUAGGGGAGACGACAUACUACCAGCCUGGACUGAGGUCCGCGCAUCUGCUAGGAUGCUGGCGUAAUGGCUGUAAGCGGCCCGUCUUGAAACACGGACC
rnacentral:rRNA from 1 species